UACGUAGGGUGCAAGCGUUGUCCGGAAUUAUUGGGCGUAAAGAGCUCGUAGGCGGUUUGUCGCGUCGAAUGUGAAAACCCGGGGCUCAACCCCGGGCCUGCAUUCGAUACGGGCAGACUAGAGUUCGGUAGGGGAGUCUGGAAUUCCUGGUGUAGCGGUGAAAUGCGCAGAUAUCAGGAAGAACACCCGUGGCGAAGGCGGUUCUCUGGGACGGUACUGACGCUGAGACGCGAAAGCGUGGGGAGCGAACAGG
rnacentral:rRNA from 1 species